AUGAAGAGCAACAUCACAAUGGUCGUCAAUGGCGGCUCCGAGAUGGACGCAUUGUUCUUACUCAGGCGGCAGCAGGAGCUUCUGACGCAAGUCCGCGCGCACAUCCUGCCGGCGCUUCGCGACGCUGACGGCAAGUCAGCCGACCUCGCCAUCGUCCUCUUCGACGACGUGAUCGAAUGCAUCGCCGGCGUCAUGUCCAGGCUCCAGGGGAUCAGCACCCAAGCAGACGGCCAUGGAGCGGUGACAGCGCCCUUCGAACUCGCCGACGUUCUCGUAAUUUCUCACAACGCCGGCGAGGGACAGGACGAGAAGCCUGUGAUCAGCAACGUUGGUCAGAAGAGAAGGAGAAACAACGAGAAGCGCUUAAGAUCUCUUGACCUACUACAGAUUGCCUACACAGAACGAAUUGCUCAGCAACCAAGACAAUUCAGCAACAUGAUCAGUAUGGAACUCUUAAUUGUGAAGAGGAAAUUGCGAAGAUCACUAACAGAAUUUCAAAAGUUCGAGCAAGGAGAUGUGGACGUGCCGACUCUAAUAAAGGUGCUUGAUAACCCUGAGCUGAAUUGGAACAUCAUUUGCUAG
rnacentral:rRNA from 1 species